AACCUUGCUGUGAUAAAGAAGGCAACAACAAAGGAUCUUGGUCCAAGCAAGAAGACCAGAAGCUCAUCGAUUACAUUACAAUUCAUGGGGAAGGUUGCUGGCGUUCUCUCCCUAAGGCCGCUGGAUUGCACCGUUGCGGCAAAAGUUGCAGAUUAAGAUGGAUAAACUAUCUUAGGCCAGACAUCAAACGAGGCAACUUUGCUCAAGAUGAGGAGGACCUUAUUAUUAAGCUCCAUGCUCUCCUUGGCAACAGGUGGUCACUGAUAGCUGGGAGACUGCCGGGGAGGACUGACAAUGAGGUGAAGAAUUAUUGGAACUCUCACCUAAGGAAAAAGCUAAUAAAAAUGGGAAUAGACCCAAACAAUCAUCGCCUUAACCAAAUUCUUCCUCGUCCUCAACCUGUUGAUGAAGAUACAUGUAAAUCCAACAAAUCUAAGACUGAUAAUGAUAGGGUUUCUGAUGCAGCAACUUCUUCUCUCGAGGAGGAUGAAACUUCUGCUGGUUCUUCUCACAUAAAUCUUGAUCUCACCAUUGCUGUUCCUUCUC
rnacentral:misc_RNA from 1 species